AGGUGUAGGUGUGAGGAAAAGAACUCCCACAAAACUUUCUCCAGAUUUGUCCACCAGCUCCUGGUACUGCUUGUGGUCAUCGGCUGGGGAGGGGGAUGAUGGAGCAACCACCUCAUCUGGUGAAGAGGAUGAUACAGCUGUCAGAACCAGUGGAACUGUGUCAAGGUCAACUACUUCCUCCUCAAACGCCAAUGAAUCUGAUUAUGACAGGUGGAGUGCACCAGAUUGAGGCUGCUUUGCACCUGGGCUUAAGACCUUCCUCUGAUGAGCCAGGCAUCAAGAUAUGGAUAAAUCUGUACACCUCAAUGCCUCAGGCACUCUGCCAUGAUAGUCCCCAGGACCUGGGCAGCAGGGGCAGCCAGAACUGCUUCCUAGCAGCUUGCCGGGUGUAAAGGCCUAGCAAGUGUAGCAUGGCCCAUCUGUCCUUUAGUCCAUGCAACUUACAUCGGUCUGCUCUGAGAAGAGAGCAUUUUCCUCAAACAGGAGGUCCUGGAUGGACAGUUGCAUCUCUUGAGAGAACUUCAAGGACUGCAGCCAUGAACUGCACCUCAUGACCACCGCAGAGGCUAUGACCCUGGCUGCUAUGUCCGCUGCAUCCCAAGCCAUCUGGAGGGAGCCCCUUGACACCACCUUGCCCUCCUCCUAGCUAGCCACGAACUCAGAACCGAGGUCCUGAGGGAAGGAGACCUUAAAUUUAUUAAGGGAGUCCCACAAAUUAAAAUUAUAUCUGCGCAAGAGGGCCUGGUGGUUUGACACCUGCAGUUGGAGACUGGCUGUCAAAUAAACUU